GAAUCUGAGGGCAAUCUGAUUGCUACAUCUGUCAUCCAAUUGAUCACCAGGGUCAGUUUGACUAAUCUGACUGGCCGCAUGGGUAUCCCCGUAGACCCUCACCGCUCCAUGUGUACCCCUCCCAAAGCAAUGUGCUCAGUAGAAGAAGAUGAGCAUCCCAGACAAAAUGUCAGCAAAUUUUAAAUGGAGCUGAAUUACACCCUUCACAUCUGCUGUGGGAACUGCUUUAGUCAUGUAAUUUAGCAUCGUUCCCACAUGC
rnacentral:snRNA from 1 species